rnacentral:rRNA from 1 species
CCUGGCUCAGGACGAACGCCGGCGGCGUGCCUAAUACAUGCAAGUCGAGCGAAUCGAUGGGAGCUUGCUCCCUGAGAUUAGCGGCGGACGGGUGAGUAACACGUGGGCAACCUGCCUAUAAGACUGGGAUAACUUCGGGAAACCGGAGCUAAUACCGGAUACGUUCUUUUCUCGCCUGAGAGAAGAUGGAAAGACGGCCUCUAGCUGUCACUUAUAGAUGGGCCCGCGGCGCAUUAGCUAGUUGGUGAGGUAAUGGCUCACCAAGGCGACGAUGCGUAGCCGACCUGAGAGGGUGAUCGGCCACACUGGGACUGAGACACGGCCCAGACUCCUACGGGAGGCAGCAGUAGGGAAUCUUCCGCAAUGGACGAAAGUCUGACGGAGCAACGCCGCGUGAACGAAGAAGGCCUUCGGGUCGUAAAGUUCUGUUGUUAGGGAAGAACAAGUACCAGAGUAACUGCUGGUACCUUGACGGUACCUAACCAGAAAGCCACGGC